rnacentral:rRNA from 1 species
UUUAACUGAAGAGUUUGAUCAUGGCUCAGAUUGAACGCUGGCGGCAGGCUUAACACAUGCAAGUCGAGCGGGGGAAGGUAGCUUGCUACUGGACCUAGCGGCGGACGGGUGAGUAAUGCUUAGGAAUCUGCCUAUUAGUGGGGGACAACAUCUCGAAAGGGAUGCUAAUACCGCAUACGUCCUACGGGAGAAAGCAGGGGAUCUUCGGACCUUGCGCUAAUAGAUGAGCCUAAGUCGGAUUAGCUAGUUGGUGGGGUAAAGGCCUACCAAGGCGACGAUCUGUAGCGGGUCUGAGAGGAUGAUCCGCCACACUGGGACUGAGACACGGCCCAGACUCCUACGGGAGGCAGCAGUGGGG